rnacentral:rRNA from 1 species
GUGAACGCUGGCGGUAGGCCUAACACAUGCAAGUCGAACGGCAGCACCGUAAGAGCUUGCUCUUACGGGUGGCGAGUGGCGGACGGGUGAGGAAUACAUCGGAAUCUACUUUUUCGUGGGGGAUUACGUAGGGAAACUUACGCUAAUACCGCAUACGACCUACGGGUGAAAGCAGGGGAUCUUCGGACCUUGCGCGAUUGAAUGAGCCGAUGUCGGAUUAGCUAGUUGGCGGGGUAAAGGCCCACCGUGGCGACGAUCCGUAGCUGGUCUGAGAGGAUGAUCAGCCACACUGGAACUGAGACACGGUCCAGACUCCUACGGGAGGCAGCAGUGGGGAAUAUUGGACAAUGGGCGAAAGCCUGAUCCAGCCAUACCGCGUGAGUGAAGAAGGCCUUCGGGUUGUAAAGCCCUUUUGUUGGGAAAGAAAAGCAGCAGGUUAAUACCCCGCUGUUCUGACGGUACCCAAAGAAUAAGCACCGGCUAACUUCGUG